GGGCCCGCAGCUGGAGCAGGCGCCGCAGCAGGAACCGCCGCUCCUCCCGUGCCCGCCACCACUUGGCCUCCACCCGCGCCACCCUCGUCGCACAACGCCCCGUUCUCCAGCACCAGCGCCCGCGCCGCCCGCCGCAACCGGCGGUACUUCACCCGGUAGCGCCCCCCUUUGGCCAUCCCGCCUCAUUACACCCCCCUUAAUUAAUUAACACUCCCCCACACCCCCAGUAGGGGGGAGCUGAUGAGCGGAGGUGGAAGAGGUGGGUGGGAUGUUGCGGCGGGGGAGGGGGGAGGAGGGGCGAGGGGGGGGGAGGUGGCGCGGUUAAUUAGUGGCGAGUAAUUAAUUGCAAGUCGUGGGGCUGGGCUGCGGUGGAGCCGGUGGGCUGCAGUCGGUCCGGCGGGUUGUAAUUAAUCCGUCGGGUUGUAAUUAAUCCGGUGGGUUGUAAUUAAUCCGGUGGGUUGCUAUUAAUCCAUUCGGUUGCAAUUAAUCCGGUGGGUUGCAGUUAAUCCAGUGGGUUGCAAUUAAUCCAUUGGGUUCCAAUUAAUCCGGUGGGUUGCAAUUAAUCCGGUGGAUUGCAAUUAAUCUGUGGGGUUAUAAUUAAUCCAGUGGGUUGCAAUUAAUC